AGCUCAGUGGUAGAGCACUUGCCUAGCAUGUGGGAGGCCCUGGGUUCAAAUCCCAG
rnacentral:tRNA from 1 species